rnacentral:rRNA from 1 species
UUCUGGUUGAUCCUGCCGGACCUGACUGCUAUCGGAUUGAUACUAAGCCAUGCAAGUCUUUGUAGUAAUACAAGGCAUACGGCUCAGUAACGCGUAGUCAACCUACCCUAUGGAUGGGGAUAAUCUCGGGAAACUGAGCAUAAUACCCAACAGAUCAUCAAUUCUGGAAUGGUUGAUGAUUCAAAUGAUUUUUCGCCAUAGGAUGGGACUGCGGCCUAUCAGCUUGUUGGUGAGGUAAUGGCCCACCAAGGCAAUUACAGGUACGGGCUCUGAGAGGAGAAGCCCGGAGAUGGGUACUGAGACAAGGACCCAGGCCCUAUGGGGCGCAGCAGGUGAGAAAACUUUGCAAUGUGCGAAAGCACGACAAGGUUAAUCCGAGUGAUUUCUGCUAAAGGAAUCUUUUACCAGUUCUAAAAAUACUGGCGAAUAAGGGGUGGGCAAGUUCUGGUGUCAGCCGCCGCGGUAAAACCAGCACCUCAAGUGGUCAGGAGGAUUAUUGGGCCUAAAGCAUCCGUAGCCGGCUCUGUAAGUUUUCGGUUAAAUCUAUAUGCUCAACGUAUAGGCUGCCGAAAAUACUGCACAGCUAGGGAAUGGGAGAGGUAGACGGUACUCGGUAGGAAGGGGUAAAAUCCUUUGAUCUAUCGAUGACCACCUGUG